GAUGAAGAACGUAGUGAAAUGCGAUAUGUAAUGUGAAUUGCAGAAUUCAGUGAAUCAUCGAGUCUUUGAACGCACAUUGCGCCCCCUGGUAUUCCGGGGGGCAUGCCUGUCCGAGCGUCAUUGCUGCCCUCAAGCACGGCUUGUGUGUUGGGCCUCCGUCCUCCUCCCGGGGGACGGGCCCGAAAGGCAGCGGCGGCACCGCGUCCGGUCCUCGAGCGUAUGGGGCUUCGUCACCCGCUCUUGUAGGCCCGGCCGGCGCUUGCCGACACAUCAAUCUUUUUUCCAGGUUGACCUCGGAUCAGGUAGGGAUACCCGCUGAACUUAAGCAUAUCAAUAAGCGGAGGA
rnacentral:misc_RNA from 1 species